rnacentral:rRNA from 1 species
CCCUUAGAUGUCCUGGGCCGCACGCGCGCUACAGUGACUCACUCAGAAAGUUUUUCCUGAUCCGGAAGGAUUCGGGUAAUCUUCAUAGCAUGAGUCGUGUUAGGGAUCGAUCUUUGCAAUUAUAGAUCUUGAACGAGGAAUGCCUAGUAAGUGCAGCUCAUCAGGCUGUACUGAUUACGUCCCUGCCCUUUGUACACACCGCCCGUCGCUCCUACCGAUUGAGUGGUCCGGUGAACCUUCUGGAUUAAGCAGCAAUGCUUGAGAAGUUAGGUAAACCUUAUCACUUAGAGGAAGGAGAAGUCGUAACA